CGCGAUUUGGAGUCUGUUUUUUCUCUCCCUCUAGUUCAUCUUCUUCGAGUUCUUCUCGGUAAGUUUGGGGUUCUCUUCUUCGCCGAAAUCGCCGUUGUUCUUGUUCGAUUCCUUCGGUAAGUUGUUCAUCUGGGUGUUUUUGUGAGGUUUUGGGGGAAAUCGGUCGAUUAAAGUUUAGGGUCGAUCGAGUCCGUUGGUUUGGGGUUUUGUUUGGAGGCAGUUGGGUUAGUCCCUAAAUGUGAGGCUGUAGACUGAGCCGUAAGAAUAGUUUCCCCUAUCCUUUGUCAAGUCGCUUGGAAAUCGCCGGAAGAGGAAGUUGCCGGAGCUGUGGCGCGUGACUGGGUGUGUUCGCCGGAAGACUGUCGAAAGAGGGAAGUUCAUAUUCUGCCCUUUCUAAUCUUGAAUCCUGAUUUUUGCAUAGAUUGAUUGUGUUCUUAAAUUGAUUUUCAGAAAGUAUAUUGUUUUUAUUUCAAUUUGUUGGACACAUUCUAGUUGAUGUUUCUUGGUUGUUUGACAGAUUAUAUAUAUAAAACACAACAUAUUUCAUGUUACUGUUCUACUGUAGUAAGAUUGUUCUAUUAUUACUUGGCUACUUGUAGGUGCUUGUCGCUGUUGAUUGAAGUGGUUAAAGGUUCCACAAAGGAAAAAAAUUAGAUAUAGUGUUUAUUACGGUGAACUUAUUGUUGAAACAAUAAUUUGUAAUUUUCAAAGUAAUUAAUAUGCUAAUCCCUUUAAGUUCUAGUAACCACGAAUAAUAAUAACAUACUGAAGUAACGACUUGUAGAUCAAGAGUCCUACAUAUGGAUGUACUCCUUACUUGAUGAUGGAAAAAAAAGAACUUAUCAUCAAAGCAUAGUGAGCAACACGUGUUUUUUUCUUCUGCAAAUCCUUCUACUAUCUAUCCUACCCAACACUUAUAGUGUUACCACUAUUUCUUUCAUGGUUCAGUUUAAUUAGGAAAAUCUCCCAAUUUUGAUAAACUUUUGAUAUCCGCUGUAUGUUGACUGUGGACUAUACAUAUUACUAAUCUUUCCUUGGGAACUGAAUAAUCUGAAUGUCGACCUGCAGGUUAGGUUACGUUGUUAGGGUGAUCAUCUUAACUCUUAGGAAUUUCGCAACACAAAGGGAAAUUUGGUGCUCGGAUUGUUCAGAACUUAAAAUCUCAGGCAUGGAGUGAUGAGUUGAGCUGUAUUAAUAGUGAAGCUAGCUCUGCCCACCCACACAGUGAAUCAAUGGACAUUACCGAUAGUUAAGAUGUACAAAAGUUUGCAGAGGAAUGUAAGAAGUGCCUUGUUGAGUUGAGGGCUGUCAUGGUUGAGGUUAGAAACAUGCAUGCAGAGUUGUCUACUUGGAUGAACUCUCCCGGUGGAGCAUCAAUAUGAGCCCUGGGAACUAGCCGCACCCAAAGAGGGUUAGAGACACUGGGUACCGAGGUCCACGAACCACUGACGGUCAGGCCUCGUGUUCUUUUGAUGUCCUGUGGCUUAGAAAAAAAUGUUGCUAAGGGGAUCAUGUUGACCGCCCCUCUUCCAGGUGAUAUGCUAGCAAUAGUUAAAGUCUUUGUAAGGGCUACCAUGGUUCCGGAGACCUCAAUUAUUCUGCCAACAAUUAGUUGAGCACGUACCCUCGGUGAGUGCCACACAUGAGUUCCUCCCCUAUACUUUUGACGUUUCAUGAGCAUCCACAGCCCAUGUUUAUGUGUUGAACCUGGUUUGAUGCCUUACUUGUUUUUACUAUAUUUUGAAUGAGGCUUGCAUAUAAUUAUGACAUCGCUUAUUAGAUCAUUUUGCGUAAUAAGUAUAUAAUUUUGGAAAGUCCGAGAGCUUGGUACAUAGACACCGGAGCAACCUGUUAUGUUUGCUCUGACAAAACAAACUUCUCGACC